AACGAACGCUGGCGGCAGGCUUAAUACAUGCAAGUCGAACGCCCCCUUCGGGGGGAGUGGCAGACGGGUGAGUAACGCGUGGGAACGUGCCCCAAGGUAGGGAACAACUCCGGGAAACUGGAGCUAAUACCCUAUGUGUCCGAGAGGAGAAAGAUUUAUCGCCUUGGGAUCGGCCCGCGUCAGAUUAGCUAGUUGGUGGGGUAAAAGCCUACCAAGGCGACGAUCUGUAGCUGUUCUGAGAGGAAGAUCAGCCACACUGGGACUGAAACACGGCCCAGACUCCUACAGAAGGCAGCAGUAGGGAAUCUUGGACAAUGGGCGCAAGCCUGAUCCAGCCAUGCCGCGUGAGUGACGAAGGCCUUAGGGUUGUAAAACUCUUUCGCACGUGACGAUAAUGACGGUAACGUGAGAAGAAGCUCCGGCUAACUACGUGCCAGCCGCCGCAGUAACAC
rnacentral:rRNA from 1 species